UACGUAGGGUGCAAGCGUUAAUCGGAAUUACUGGGCGUAAAGGGUGCGUAGGCGGUUGUUUAAGUUUGGUGUGAAAUCUCCCGGCUCAACUGGGAGGGUGCGCCGAAUACUGAAUGACUAGAGUGCGGGAGAGGAGAGUGGAAUUCCUGGUGUAGCGGUGAAAUGCGCAGAUAUCAGGAAGAACACCCGUGGCUAAGGCGGCUCUCUAGUACGGUACUGACGCUGAGACGCGAAAGCGUGGGGAGCGAACAGG
rnacentral:rRNA from 1 species